GGCCCUCUCCAUGUGGCGUAUGCCCUGAUCACUAGACCAGAGGAAUGCAUUUCAUAAACAGACACCCUUGUCUUUGCUCCUUCUGUGAAUCAUAAGGAAAAAAGUAUCAGAAUGCUUUCUACAUGAACAGGAAGACUAACCAACGUUGAAUGGCAGCCAGUCUUAUCUCCGUCCUUAUCACCACCUUACCAUGUCAUCCUGGCGAAGAUGCCAUCACAGGAGUCAGGGUUGAAGUCCAGGUUUAAGGUGCAUCUAGAUGGGUUCCCAGGACGCCUGAAGUAGCCUCAAGAGGCCCAAAAGAAAAAGCUCCUCUGGCACAGUCUCCUAAUGGUGACAAAGGAGUCCCUCUCAUCUGCUUGGCAGCCUUACAAUCAGAGCGUUCUUACAUCUAACCUAAUUAUUUCCCACUGAAAUUCAAACCUAAUUCAUUUAUUUUUUAUUCUCUAUAAAAAUGAAAAACAUCACUGUGGCAAGUAACUUGCUCAAUUUCUCACAGAAAAUAAAGAAAAGGUAGCUGGA
rnacentral:lncRNA from 1 species